UACGUAGGGCGCGAGCGUUGUCCGGAUUUACUGGGCGUAAAGAGCGUGUAGGCGGCCAAACAGGUCCGUUGUGAAAACUGGAGGCUCAACCUCCAGACGUCGACGGAAACCGUGUGGCUAGAGUCCGGAAGAGGAGAGUGGAAUUCCUGGUGUAGCGGUGAAAUGCGCAGAUAUCAGGAAGAACACCAAUGGCGAAGGCAGCUCUCUGGGACGGUACUGACGCUGAGACGCGAAAGCGUGGGGAGCGAACAGG
rnacentral:rRNA from 1 species